UGGCAAAAAUUACUUAGGAAUAAGUACCUACAUUCUAACACCCUCUCGGAGGUUGAGGCCAAACAAAUAGACUAUCCUUUCUGGAAAGGUCUCAUGGGGUGUCAAAAAUGACUUUUUUGUAAAGGGGCAGUUGUGAUAGGCAAUGGCCUAACUACUAGGUUACAUGAAGAUACAUGGUUAGGGAACAUGGCACUAGGCUUGCAACAUCAUUGCCUCUAUCAUAUUGUGUAGCUGAAAGAUAUCUAUGUUGCCUCUGUAAAGAUAUCAAUAUUUUCUUCCAAAGACCAUUAA
rnacentral:rRNA from 1 species